GGAUCAAUUUAUUGGUCGUGCUAUUGUACGUACUGGUAUUAUUGAUUCCUACCUUCUGACGAACCAUGAUGUCAUUAAUUUGGUGUCAUGGGGAAUCAGGACUGUUACUUUGAAUAAAUUAGGGUGUUCAAAGCAGCCAAAAAAGGAGGCAUGGAUACUACAGCAUGGGAUAACGGAAUA
rnacentral:rRNA from 1 species